CUAAGGGAGAUGACAGAAGAGAGUGAGCACACAUGGUAUUUUCUUGCACGAUGACGAUUCAUGCUUGAAGCUAUGUGUGCUUACUCUCUAUCUGUCAUCCCAUCAC
rnacentral:pre_miRNA from 1 species